rnacentral:tRNA from 1 species
GCCUUCGUAGUGUAGUGGUCAGCACACUGGGCGCAUACUCCAGAGGUCCGCGGUUCGAUUCCCGGCGAGAGGA